CGUGUAGGCGGUUUGUUAAGUCUGUUGUGAAAGCCCUGGGCUCAACCCGGGAAGUGCACUGGAUACUGGCAGACUUGAAUACGGGAGAGGAGAGUGGAAUUCCUGGUGUAGGAGUGAAAUCCGUAGAUAUCAGGAGGAACACCGGUGGCGAAGGCGGCUCUCUGGACCGAUAUUGACGCUGAGACGCGAAGCGUGGGUAGCAAACA
rnacentral:rRNA from 1 species